CCUACGGGAGGCAGCAGUGAGGAAUAUUGGUCAAUGGCCGGAAGGCUGAACCAGCCAAGCCGCGUGAAGGACGAAGGUGCCAAGCAUUGUAAACUUCUUUUGUCAAGGGACAAAAUCAGGCUCGAGGGUCUGACCGAGGGUACUUGAAGAAAAAGCAUCGGCUAACUCAGUGCCAGAAGCAGCGGUAAUACGGAGGAUGCGAGCGUUAUCCGGAUUGAUUGGGUUUAAAGGGUUCGUAGGCGGUCUGUUAAGUCAGCGGUAAAAGCCCGGGGCUCAACCCCGGCGAGCCUUUGAAACUGGCGGUCUGGAGUUGGAGAGAGGUACGCGGAAUGCGCGGUGUAGCGGUGAAAUGCUUAGAUAUCGCGCAGAACCCCGAUUGCGAAGGCAGCGUACCGGCUCCACACUGACGCUGAUGCACGAAAGCGUGGGUAUCAAACAGGAUUAGAUACCCGUGUAGUC
rnacentral:rRNA from 1 species